UAGGGAAUCUUCCGCAAUGGGCGAAAGCCUGACGGAGCAACGCCGCGUGAGUGAUGAAGGUCUUCGGAUCGUAAAACUCUGUUAUUAGGGAAGAACAAAUGUGUAAGUAACUAUGCACAUCUUGACGGUACCUAAUCAGAAAGCCACGGCUAACUACGUGCCAGCAGCCGCGGUAAUACGUAGGUGGCAAGCGUUAUCCGGAAUUAUUGGGCGUAAAGCGCGCGUAGGCGGUUUUUUAAGUCUGAUGUGAAAGCCCACGGCUCAACCGUGGAGGGUCAUUGGAAACUGGAAAACUUGAGUGCAGAAGAGGAAAGUGGAAUUCCAUGUGUAGCGGUGAAAUGCGCAGAGAUAUGGAGGAACACCAGUGGCGAAGGCGACGUUCUGGUCUGUAACUGACGCUGAUGUGCGAAAGCGUGGGGAUCAAACAG
rnacentral:rRNA from 1 species